rnacentral:lncRNA from 1 species
UUUCAGCUCCAUCGCCUCCUCCAACAAACCAUCCCUUGCACAAGCAGAUAUCAAUGAAUUGUAAGUCACAAUGCUCGGGGAGAAAUCAUUAACCUCCAUCUCUCUCAAAACCUUCAUGGCCUCCUCAGGUCUCCUGACUUUCCAUAAACAUCCAGCAGCGCGUUGUAGGUGACAUUAUCCGGUACAUACCCCGCCAUUUUCAUCUCCUCAAACAUGGCUUUAGCUUCCUCAUACAAAGACCCCCUCCGGCAACAACUUAUCACGGUGUUAUACGUGUAAGCAUCAGGAACAACACCCGAGCUCUUCAUACCAUCAAAAACCGCCAUGAUUUUAUGCCAAGGCAUCCCCAUUUUACCAUAAACAUUCAAAAUCACAUUAUAAGUUAUCAAAGUAGGCUUGCAACCCUCCUCCUCCAUCUUCUUGAACACCAUUACAGCUUCCCUAUAUCUCCCAUUUCGCACGAAAACAGUUAUCAACGAAGUGUAAGCAUACACAUCAAUCCCAUAUCCAUCUUUCUGCAAAUUAUGCAGCAAAGAGGCUGCAGCAGAAAUCCGACCAUCCUUCCCCAACAUACUAAUUACCACCGCCACAACAGACCCAUUAAUCAGUUUGUGAGAAUCCGUACGGCUCUUUAUCCAUUCGAAAACACUCAGAGCCAAGUCGCAUUUUUUAUGAUACCCUAAACCCUUAAUUAUGCCCAAUAAAUCAGAGAAAACAGCAUCUACAUAAUCCCCUGAAAGUUGAGAUUCUUCAAUUCUGUACCUAAGCAAAGCAGAUAGCUCUUGGUCGAGCUUGUCGGCAUCGAAUUGAGGAUGAAGGAGGGAGAGGAGAGUGCGCUCACCUAGAGAAGAGAGGCGGCGGUUGAGCCAGGGCUUGCCCUUGUGGGGUCACGGUGUUUGCCGAUACGACGCCGUGGUUGCUGGAGGGAGGAGGUGGUGGCGGGGUUUUGUUGGGGUGAGGAAAUCGUGGAGGAGAGGGGAUAAAUUGGGCGGGGGGAGAGGGAGGUCCGGCGGCGGAANCAAACUUAGGCGUGAUGCCACUCUCCUUCAUCAAGUCUAGAUCUCGUUUGCCUUGUCGAGCAUCUGCCUCCGGCCAUAUAUUGAAACCAUUGCAUCAGAGUAGGCACGUCGGGGAGAAGCCUUUCCUUCUUAGCUCAAGGAAGGCUUGCUCUGUUUCAUCUACGAGAUCACUUUUGCUGUAGACCAGAACAAGGGUUUUCAGUAACACUGGAUGUGGUUCAAUUUUAGCAUCGUAUAUAUCUCUAGCAAGAUCGUGCAUCUUCUCGAUCUGCUUCCCAUUAGCGUACGCAUGAAGCAAGGAGCUAUAGGUCAUCUGAUUAGGCUUACACCUCCCAUUCAUCAUCUCAGCAAAUACCUUCUCUGACUGCUCCCACAGUCCCCCUCGUGCCAACGCUGCCAAAACAGCGUUGUAAGUGGAUAAAUCAGGAGUGACCCCCGCCUUCAACAUGAGCUUAUAUAUAGCCAUUGCCUGGUCGAAAGCUCCACACCUACUGUAAGCACUGAUCAACGUGUUAAAUGUGUCCCUCUCAGCCACAAAGCCCGAUCUCUUCAUCUCCUUGAACACCCCUGACACCUCCGUGUUCAUCCCGUUCUGCCCAAACACAGCCAAAAGAGUGUUCCAAGUAACAACAUCCGCCCUGCAUCCAGAAGCCUUCAUAUCAUCAAAAAUCUUCAUCAUCUCCGUAAACUUCCCACGAUUCCCAAACAUCUUGAUCAGAGCAUUGAAAGUGCAGAUAUUCGAACUGCAACCCACACCUUGCAUCUCCUCAAACACCUUCAUCGCAGAAUCAUCCUUCCCAGCCUUCUCAAAGCCUGACAACAACGUAGUAUAAGUGAACACAUCCGGCUUUAUCCCCUUCUCCAUCAUCUUAUCUUUCAGCUCCAUCGCCUCCUCCAACAAACCAUCCCUUGCACAAGCAGAUAUCAAUGAAUUGUAAGUCACAAUGCUCGGGGAGAAAUCAUUAACCUCCAUCUCUCUCAAAACCUUCAUGGCCUCCUCAGGUCUCCUUGACUUUCCAUAAACAUCCAGCAGCGCGUUGUAGGUGACAUUAUCCGGUACAUACCCCGCCAUUUUCAUCUCCUCAAACAUGGCUUUAGCUUCCUCAUACAAAGACCCCCUCCGGCAACAACUUAUCACGGUGUUAUACGUGUAAGCAUCAGGAACAACACCCGAG